GACGAACCGUGCGAACGUUAUUCGGAAUCAUUGGGCUUAAAGGGCGCGUAGGCGGGCCGACACGUCGGAACUGAAAUCCCCCGGCUCAACCGGGGAACGGGCUCCGAUACGGUUGGCCUCGAGGUGAGAAGGGGGACCUGGAACGUCCGGUGGAGCGGUGAAAUGCGUUGAGAUCGGACGGAACGCCGAUGGCGAAAGCAAGGUCCUGGACUCAUUCUGACGCUGAGGCGCGAAAGCCAGGGGAGCGAACGGGAUUAGAUACCCCCGUAGUCC
rnacentral:rRNA from 1 species